AUUGAACGCUGGCGGCAGGCCUAACACAUGCAAGUCGAACGGAAACAGGCAACUGCUUGCUGUUUCGCUGGGGGGUGGCGGACGGGUGACACAUGAGUGGGCAACUGCCUGGUGGAGGAGGAUCGCUAGUGGCAGCGGUUACUACUACCGCAUAGCGUCGGAAGAAGAGAGAGGGUGAGAUUUGGGCCUCUUGCCAUCGGCUAUGCCCAGAUGGGAAUAGCUAGUGGGUGGGGUAACGUCUCACCUGGGUGACGAUCCCUCGCUGGUGUGAGAGGAUGAUCAGCCACACUGGAACUGAGACACGGUCCAGACUCCUACGGGAGGCAGCAGUGGCGAAUAUUGCACAAUGGGCGCAAGCCUUAUGCAGCCAUGCCGCGUGUAUGAAGAAGGCCUUCGGGUUGUAAAGUACUUUCAGCGGGGAGGAAGGGAGUAAAGUUAAUACCUUGCCUCAGUGACGUUACCCGCAGAAGAAGCACCGGCUAACUCCGUG
rnacentral:rRNA from 1 species